AACGAACGCUGGCGGCAGGCUUAACACAUGCAAGUCGAACGGGCACCUUCGGGUGUCAGUGGCAGACGGGUGAGUAACGCGUGGGAACGUACCCUUCGGUUCGGAAUAACCCAGGGAAACUUGGGCUAGCACCGGAUACGUCCGCAAGGAGAAAGAUUUAUCGCCGAAGGAUCGGCCCGCGUCGGAUUAGCUAGUUGGUGGGGUAAUGGCCCACCAAGGCGACGAUCCGUAGCUGGUCUGAGAGGAUGAUCAGCCACACUGGGACUGAGACACGGCCCAGACUCCUACGGGAGGCAGCAGUGGGGAAUAUUGGACAAUGGGCGAAAGCCUGAUCCAGCCAUGCCGCGUGAGUGAAGAAGGCCUUAGGGUUGUAAAGCUCUUUCAGCGGGGAAGAUAAUGACGGUACCCGCAGAAGAAGUCCCGGCUAACUUCGUGCCAGCCGCCGCGGUAAC
rnacentral:rRNA from 1 species